UCCACUUUCAGAAUCAUUCUUUCAUUUCCAUCAAAGGUAGCCCAUGUAUACAGCUGAGAUGUUUUCUCAGCCUGCUUUCUGCCUGUAGAAGUUUGGGGACCCUAAGUCCUCUUUAUAAUUUGUUCUCUUUCUAUUCCUUUUAUUUUUAAUUUUUCCAUGUUAGGACAGGCAAAAGUAUUGCUAAACUUUCUGCUGUUUUAUAACAAGGAUUCUCGUUUCUCCAUUUUAAAAUAACAUUUCCCCUACUUUUUUUUUUUGUUCUCAAAGGCCAUCAGGCUUCUACUAACAAUAUCUGUAAUAUUCUUUAGGCUUUCAUUAACACUACCCUCAAAGUCCUUCCAGCUCUUAACCAAUACUCAGUCUAGAUUUACACCCACAUUUUUAGUUUUUUGUCAUGACUUGCUCAACUUCCAGGUACCGAAGCCUUCAUACUCAAAAUGAACUCCAAAACUUAGCACCUUAAAACAAUAUUACACAUUGUACAUAGUUUCUGUGUGUCAGGAAUUCAGGAGUGAUGUAAGCUGGUGGUUCUGGUUUGGGGGUCUCUCAUGAACUUACUGUCAAGGUGUUGACUGGGGACUGAAGUCACUUGAAGGCUUGACUGUGUAGAGUAUCUUCCAAGGUGGCUCAGUCCAAUGGUUGGCAAGGUAUGCUGGUGUUGGCUGGGUCCUGGCCCUAAGGAUGCUUGAGUGUUAUUGUUAAUUGUAUCAUGAGAGCUGGCUUCUUCCAGGGCAAUUGAUUUAAGAGAGCAAGCUGAAAGCCCCAAUUUCUCUUUAUAACCUAGCUUUAAAACUCACAUGCCACCAUUUCUGCAAAAUCCUAGUUGUUACAUGGUCAGCCCUACUGAAUAUGGGAGGAGAUUAUACAAGGAUAUGAAAACCAGGAUGCAGGAUCAUCAGGGACUAUCUCAGAAGCUGGCUGUUAGUAUCUUUUCUCAUUAUUUUUUCCUAUAAUUAAUAAUUACCUGAUUUGUUUAUCUGAUUAGCUUUACAUGUCUUAAUCUUUAUUUUUUCUCUAAGGCUUCAUCAUCUUUCAAAUACCUGGGAAUUAUUUUUGCACAGCUUGAAAUGUAUUAGAUUAUUUCUGCUUCCAUUGUUUUCUUAUGAACAUUAUCCUUCAUGUCCUCCAUCUUUUUUUUUUUUUUUUUUUUUGGUGGACGGUGGGGGAUGGAGUCUCACUCCGCUGCCCAGGCUGGAGAGCAUAUGGGUUUUAUUUUUGUUUUUCCAUUGGUAAACUCUCAAUUUUCAUUGUGCAGAGAUCAUUCCUCUGGAGCCGAUUAGUUUCUCCAAAGAAGAAUC
rnacentral:lncRNA from 1 species